UUUAACUGAGCGUUCAGUUACUUGACGUAGACCCGAAACCGGGCGACCUACCCAUGAGCAGGAUGAAGCGAAAGUAAAAUUUCGUGGAGGUCCGAACCCACGAGCGUUGAAAAGCUCGGGGAUGACUUGUGGGUAGCGGUGAAAUUCCAAUCGAGCCCGGAGAUAGCUGGUUCUCCCCGAAAUAGCUUUAGGGCUAGCCUCAAGGUGAGAGAUACGGAGGUAGAGCACUGAAUGUCCUAGGGGGUAUUGCACCUACCGAAGACUAUCAAACUCCGAAUGCCGUCAUCUUAUACUUGGGAGUCAGACUGUGGGUGAUAAGAUUCAUAGUCGAAAGGGCAACAGCCCAGAUCGUCAGCUAAGGUCCCUAAAUGUAAGUUAAGUGGUAAAGGAUGUGGGAUUGCACAGACAACCAGGAUGUUGGCUUAGAAGCAGCCACUCAUUCAAAGAGUGCGUAAUAGCUCACUGGUCGAGUGAUCCUGCGCCGAAGAUUUCCGGGGCUAAAACUUACUACCGAAGCUACGGCAUCAGUAAUGAUGGGUAGGGGAGCUUCCCAUACGGGUUGAAGCAUGACCGUAAGGACAUGUGGACAGUAUGGGAGUGAGAAUGUUGGCAUGAGUAGCGAGAUGUGGGUGAGAAUCCCACAGGCCGUAAACCCAAG
rnacentral:rRNA from 1 species